AGGCUCUAUACAGGGGGUACCGGUACAGAGUCAAUGUGGAGGCUCUAUACAGGGGGUACCGGUACCGAGGAAAUGUGGAGGCUAUGUACAGGGGGUACCGGUACCGAGGAAAUGUGGAGGCUAUAUACAGGGGGUACCGGUACCGAGGAAAUGUGGAGGCUAUAUACAGGGGGUACCGGUACCGAGGAAAUGUGGAGGCUAUAUACAGGGGGUACCGGUACCGAGGAAAUGUGGAGGCUAUGUACAGGGGGUACCGGUACCGAGGAAAUGUGGAGGCUAUAUACAGGGGGUACCGGUACCGAGGAAAUGUGGAGGCUAUGUACAGGGGGUACCGGUACAGAGUCAAUGUGGAGGCUCUAUACAGGGUGUUACGGUACAGAGUCAAUGUGGAGGCUAUAUACAGGGGGUACCGGUACAGAGUCAAUGUGGAGGCUAUAUACAGGGGGUACCGGUACAGAGUCAAUGUGGA
ensembl:lncRNA